rnacentral:rRNA from 1 species
GACGAACGCUGGCGGCGUGCUUAACACAUGCAAGUCGAACGGAAAGGCCCUGCUUUUGUGGGGUGCUCGAGUGGCGAACGGGUGAGUAACACGUGAGUAACCUGCCCUUGACUUUGGGAUAACUUCAGGAAACUGGGGCUAAUACCGGAUAAGAGCUCCUGCUGCAUGGUGGGGGUUGGAAAGUUUCGGCGGUUGGGGAUGGACUCGCGGCUUAUCAGCUUGUUGGUGGGGUAGUGGCUUACCAAGGCUUUGACGGGUAGCCGGCCUGAGAGGGUGACCGGCCACAUUGGGACUGAGAUAGGGCCCAGACUCCUACGGGAGGCAGCGGUGGGGAAUCUUGCACAAUGGGCGGAAGCCUGAUGCAGCACCGCCGCGUGCGGGAUGACGGCCUUCGGGUUGUAAACCGCGUUCGCCUGUGACGAAGCGUGAGUGACGGUAAUGGGUAAAGAAGCACCGGCUAACUACGUG